GUGCCAGCAGCCGCGGUAAUACGGAGGGUGCGAGCGUUAAUCGGAAUUACCGGGCGUAAAGGGCGCGUAGGCGGUCGCGCAAGUCGGGUGUGAAAGCCCCGGGCUCAACCUGGGAAUUGCAUUCGAUACUGCGUAACUAGAGUCUGGUAGAGGGAAGCGGAAUUCCGCAUGUAGCGGUGAAAUGCGUAGAUAUGCGGAGGAACACCAGUGGCGAAGGCGGCUUCCUGGACCAAGACUGACGCUGAGGCGCGAAAGCGUGGGGAGCAAACAGGAUUAGAUACCCUGGUAGUCCACGCCCUAAACGAUGAGGACUAGACGUUGGGGGGAUAAAACCCUUUAGUGUCGCAGCUAACGCGUGAAGUCCUCCGCCUGGGGAGUACGGCCGCAAGGUUGAAACUUAAAGGAAUUGGCGG
rnacentral:rRNA from 1 species